GGGGAUUUGGCUCAGUGGUAGAGCGCUUGCCUAGCAAGCGCAAGGCCCUGGGUUCGGUUCCCAGCUCUG
rfam:Rattus norvegicus chromosome X, whole genome shotgun sequence.